rnacentral:rRNA from 1 species
CCUGCAACUCGGCUGCAUGAAGCUGGAAUCGCUAGUAAUCGCGGAUCAGAAUGCCGCGGUGAAUACGUUCCCGGGUCUUGUACACACCGCCGUCACACCAUGGGAGUAGGUAAUGCCCGAAGUCGGUGACCUAACCGGAAGGAAGGAGCCGCCGAAGGCAGGACUUAUAACUGGGGUGAAGUCGUAACAAGGUACC